CUAUAGAAGUUAUAUUUAUUGUUUUUAUAUUUAAUUGGUAAUUAUUUGACUAAAACCAUUCUUUUUCACUAGAAUUUUAGUAUAACAUUAAUUUUCCAUAAUUGAAUCUCCAAAUUUCUGCUUAUAAUAGGAACUCUAUAAAUAUUUUUCAAAUUAAUUAAAAAAUGACUUAAAAUUUGAGAACGCCAACAGGUGUUUGUGUACAUAAAGCACAUUCCCAUUUUCUGUAGUUACCAGCCAUUGUCACCAGAUGGAAACCUUAUCCUAGGAAAAUGAAAGUUGUACUAGCGCUAGGCCCUUAUAAACUAAAGACAGCAGGGCUGAAAUAGGGGAAAUUGUCAUACUUGUUUUUAUAGAUUACUUAAAUGAUAAAGGCUAAAAGUUUAGUCAUAACUAAUGGUGGCUUAUAUGAUAUUUCUGCUUUUCCAUUAUAUUGUAACCCUCCUGAAUAGUUCAUUUUUUGCAUAGUGAUACUUAUUGUUUCCACUAAUCUCUUGUUACUAAAGUAAUUUAAUUUCUAUUUAAAAAUCAAUGUUAGAAAGAACUCUUAAUGUAUUGUUUCCUAGUUCUUUCAAUCUCAAGCCUUUUACCAAAUUAUUCCAAAAUAUUUUUUUUUAUUUUGACUGGAACAUAAAUUAUUCUUUAUCAUAUCCUUGCUAUGCUGCAUUACUGAGCAAGAACUCUGCCAUUAUUUUCGGAUUAUUGGUCAUUUGAUUUUGAUGUAAAGCUUAUACUGCUUUUUGUUCUCUUCCAACUCUCCAUGCACCGUCUUUGGAAAAUAAAUUACUAGGCCACUGCAUUUGUUCACGUCCAACCUCAUAUUUGUGUAGUAAGAUUAACAAACAAGUUUCCUAGUAUAAGGAAGUAUUGAGUAGCCUACAGAUGAAAUAACCAAUCUCUAAAUGUUUUUCUUUUGAAUUAUCAAAAUUUUAUAUAUAAGUUACUUAUAAUUGUUAAAGUGUGUGUGUAUGAGUGUGUGUGUGUACACAUAUGCUUUUGUAAGCUACAUUUAUCAAUGUAUCUUCAAAUUAUGGGAAUAUCAAAAUAAACAAUAGCAUUUUAAGGCAGCAGUAAUAGUUUUCAUUGUAGUAGUAUUUAGAGUCAUUAUGUUCUUAUUAAUUUCUUGAAAAAAUAGCUACUUAAUGAUGUAGACUUUAAAAAUGUUUAAAAUAUUCUUUAUUCCUGGAUGUGGCAUAUUAUUGACUAAAAGAAACUUUCCCUUCCCUUUCUCUUGUUUCAAUCAGUCCAUUUGAGAUGAUUUAGCAAAAUACCCCUAAGCAUCUAUAAGUGACAAAAAUAUAUUUUUCUCAAUUUAGGAGGCGAAUAAGUCCAAAUCAAGGCACCAGCAGACUCAGGAUCUGGUGAAGUAUUUUCCUGGUCUCUUGGCAUCUUUUCCAUAUGUCUUCAGAGUAGAAGGGGAAAAGAAGCUCUCUGAAUCCUCUUUUGUGAAAAACCCUAUGACUGCAAGGAGUAUAGAAAGGCCUAAAGAGUGGGGCAACAACUUAAACUGCAUCAGAGGAUUCACACUGGUGAGAAGUCCUAUGAUUGCAAGGAGUAGGGGAAGACCUUUAGUUGUGGUUACACCUGACUCUUCAUCAGAGAAUUCAUACAGGUUAUUGUGAGUGAGAUGGUUUUCUUGAUUUCUUCCCAGUUGGAUCUGUUGGAGUAUAGGGAGAACAGCAGCCGAUUUGGAUUCCAGAGAGACUAACCAAAGCAAUUUCUACAGACCAAAAAGAAGAUGAUUUGACUCAAAUCCAUAACAGCUGAUAUCCAGAGCUCCAGCUUGGCUAUUCUUACAUCUGCGACAGUGAUUAACCAGGAUGCUUUUUUCAAUAUCUAUUUUAUUAUUGCAUUUUCCCACAUCAUAAAGUUCUAUUUUAUUUUUUGAGCUCAUACAAACCUAGGUUAAUGUUUUUCUGAGCAGUUUUAUUUUUUGGCUGUGGAGUUUUUAAACAUUGCAAUGGAGAUUUCACCUAGGUAAAGCUACAAGGCCUUUGCUAUUGUCUUAUGUGUUGUACGUUUGUGUGCACUCUUGUGUUUUGUGUUGUAUGUCUGUAUGUGCGUAUGUCCAUAUUUCAUAUAUGAGGAGCGCUCAUGAAAAAAUGGGUCCGAAUUUUUUUUUUUAUUCACGUGAUUUAAAUGGUUUAAUUUAAAUUAGGUAAACAGCUGUUAAGGAUUGUUUUUAAAGGAGGUUAACAGAUCUGUUUGUUUACUUUCACCUUUCCUUUUCAUUAUAUUUUAUAAUUCUGUUCAGGAUAAUGUCUCUUUAGCAUCAUUGCCAGAAUUCCUAUCUUCAUCCCAGUGCCGGUGAAGACAAAGAUAAAACCAAACUACAGCUUCUAUGAUAGCUAUCACAGUAAACUGUAUAAACUGAUGCAUCAAUGAAUUAACUCAACAAGUAAUGCUCAAUCAAGGAGUCGAUUUACUUUGGGAGGAAAUGGACAUAUUGAUAGACUUCUCCACUUUGAACUGCUUGCAGAACUUGCCUGGACUAUGUAUCACUUGUAUACAUUGUGAACUAUCAUUUGGUGCAGCAAAUUGUGGUAGUGCUGGCAUAUCUUUGCUGAUGGUGUCACCAGUGAUGCAAUUUUUCCAAAGGAGCCGUCAAUUGGCUUGGUGUCAUGGCAUUUCUGUAUUCUCCUCCCUUCUGCUAGUGAUGGUCUAAAAUUUGGGGGCCAACAGAGGUGAGGCAAAGAAACUCACCCCCACACUGGCACCAAGGCCAAAUUUGGGGGCCAACAGAGGUAAGGCAAAGAACCUCACCCCCCCACUGGUGCAUAGGCCUGUCCACAGUAUGGCUGUAUGCUAGACUGGUAGUUAGUGACAGGUAUGAUCCAAUUGCAGUGGUAUCAACCUAAGACAGGAGGCUGACGCCUAGAGGUCAGUUCAUCCGAUGACGGGUAAGAACCAUAUGUUGAAUUGGACAACCUAACAGGCACGGUCCCUAGCCACAUUGCUUGUUGUUUAAUUAUUCAGAAGGGAGGAGAUGCUGAGAGCCAUUGCCAAGUAGGAAUGACGCAUGGCAAUUUCUUUGUCAGCCUACCCAAUGUUGCUUAGAGGGAGGACUCUCCAUUGUGGAAAUGGGCUUGCCUUGGACCCAGGUCAUUUGCAGUGACAUUGCAUGAAUGUUUGAGAAAGGUGACCCUGCUCAAGGACCAGGGUGGAUCUGGGUUUAGGGAGGAUCCUGCUGGAUUAGGGUGGGUCCAGUUUUAGGGUGUAUCCUGCUGGGAAUAGGGAGUAUCCUGCUGCCUCAGGUGCCCUCCAGCUCCUUGAGUUCCCGUUGAGUUCUCGCGGGAUUCAGAGAGUAUUUUGGGAUGCAGAGCCGAGUGGGGGUGUGAAUUUUUCCCCAGACGUGCGUGUAGUGUGCCGGUGACAGUUCAGGAAUAAAGAAUUGCUGUUUGAAUCUAUAAGGCUGUGAGUGGCUCGUGAUUUUGUGCCCAGCCAGACUGCGGCACACAUAUAAAACUUUUUGUAACACAUCAUAAUGAAAACUAUAUUUCUGACCAAAAUUUAAACAAAUCAUUUGGAAAGCUCUAUCUAUUUUAUGGAAACUCAUUACCUGGAAGUCUAAAUAUCAUUUAUGUAUGGGAUGAAAUUGUAUGACUGGAAGUUGGGAAGAGGGCACUAUUGUUGAAAAAGUGAUGAAGUCCACAAACUGAAUAUUUUUGAAGUAGGUAAAAUUUCUGUGUUGGCUAAGAGAUUUGGAGAGAUUCCCUGCUAGAGGAAUGGAAGAUAUUUGAGGUCAUGGAACAGUAACUUUGGUAACUGGGAUUAGUCUUGAGUUUGAAGCUAUUUGAAACUCAAAAAAAUGUUCAGUGCUGUGGCUAAAUGUCUGAGUAGUUUAGAAUAAGCUUCUGUUCAGGUCAGGUUUUUAAAUACCAACCAGAGGACUGGCUGAAAGGUUUAUGCAUUGACGCUGAGGCUAGAGACUGUAGAGACUUGGCCUUGGCCAGAAAACCAUAGUCCUAGGGAGCAUGGCUUGGGUCCAGUAUGAACAGGCCCAGGAAGGGGCUGCUGUAAGUAAAUUCUCCACUGUGAGCUCAGCCUGAUGGAAACUAAACUCCUCCCUCCAACUGUUUUCAACUUUUAAAAACAAAUUAGAGAAGAGAGAGGUGGAAGUAGUUGUUGAGUAGAGGAGUGAAUUUCUAAGGAUGUUCACCGGUUUGAACUACAAUACAGAAUUGAAGAUUCCCAAGAAGAUUCUUAACCUGAGAUAAGACAAAAAUAGGUACUGUUCACCUAUAAAGAAAAAAGUAUUUCAGAGGUAGUGGUCUGAGAUUUCAAGGGAAGUAGAGGGGCAUUUACUUCCCUUUGCUAAUAGGGAACUUAAGACAUUUUGUGCAUUCUGUUCUUAUAAUUGUGAAUGCUAAAUUUCGAAAAACAAGAGAAAAAGCUAAUAGGACUGAGUCUGUGAUGAAUGGAGGCCUUUAAGAAUCAAGUCUGAGUUAGUAUGAAACCCCAGGGCCCACCAUAUAGAUAGUAGUUAUCAGAAUUUAAAAAUAUCAUCAACGUGGGCAAAAGAGCAAUAGUAAAAAUGGCAACAAUUUUGAAAUAAUGACUGGAUAUCUUCCCUAGUUUUCUGACCACAGAAGCCCAUCAAUUUUGUAUGAGUACAUGGAUAUAUUAUGGCAAGAAGACCUCAAAAUGAAUAUGACAAUAUUCCUUAUCAACCAGGAGAGCAGAAG